CCUACGGGGUGCACCAGUGGGGAAUAUUGAACAAUGGGCGAAAGCCUGAUCCAGCAAUGCCGCGUGUGUGAAGAAGGUCUUCGGAUUGUAAAGCACUUUCGGCGGGGACGAUGAUGACGGUACCCGUAGAAGAAGCCCCGGCUAACUUCGUGCCAGCAGCCGCGGUAAUACGAAGGGGGCUAGCGUUGCUCGGAAUGACUGGGCGUAAAGGGCGCGUAGGCGGUUUAUGCAGUCAGAUGUGAAAUCCCCGGGCUUAACCUGGGAACUGCAUUUGAGACGCAUAGACUAGAGGUCGAGAGAGGGUUGUAGAAUUCCCAGUGUAGAGGUGAAAUUCGUAGAUAUUGGGAAGAACACCGGUGGCGAAGGCGGCAACCUGGCUCGAUACUGACGCCGAGGCGCGAAAGCGUGGGGAGCAAACAGGAUUAGAUACCCCAGUAGUC
rnacentral:rRNA from 1 species